CCCAGAAAAGGUGUUGGUUAAUAUAGAUAGCAGGACAAUGGCCACGGAAGCUGAAAUCCACUAAAAGUGUGUAACAACUCACCUACCAAAUCAACUUGCCCUGAAAAUGGAUGGUGCUGGA
rnacentral:ncRNA from 1 species